UUCCAAGGUGAAGGAGGAGGAGCCUCUGAGGGAAAGUUUCCAUCGAAACUCGAGCUGGGCGCAGUGGAGCCCUCGCGCCCUUGGGGGCUAGCGUUUGGCCAGAGCUACACACUCCUUACUCACGCACGCACACCGCCGUACACAGCACAGUCGUUCACCGUCCCGCCAAAGGCUCGUCUCUAGGGUUCUGCCGAGUGGAAGGAGUCGGACAACGCCGCACGUCACGGGCGUUUUCGAUUUCUCACUUCCCGAAGGUUUGACGGCGGCCACUGGCGCAAUGGCCCAGCUCUUCUUUCCUUUGCUGACUCCUUCCUUGAGGUGUGAAUUUUAAAAUGCUGAUACCGUCCCAAGAGAGCUGAGUCAACUGUCUACCACCACUGCUGCGCUAGUGGAUGACUGCAGGAACACCGGGUACUUGCCACAAGUAUCUCUCCAGAUUCAUCAGCCUUUCACCUGUGACAAGCGCAGUCAAGAAGUGGCUCCUAAGUAAAAGCUGGGGAAGAACAAGGAAGAUAGAGCUCAGAGUAGAAAGCUGUGAAGUUCUGCACAACAGGUCCCCUUGGCCUGCUCUAACAGUUGGAAUGUGGGGAAAGCAUUCAUUUACUCAACAAAUAUAUACUGAGUGCCUUUUGCGUGCUAGGCACGCUUCUAGGGGUUGAGGACACAGCAGAGAGCACAAACAACAAUUCCAGCCCUCGUGGAGCUUACCUCUUCCAGAGCAACUUGUGUCAUAGGAAUCAUCAGGCAAUAAGAUGCAGGGAAAACUCUGGAUACUGCAUACCCAAAGUUGAAUACAUUUUUCUUCUUUUUGAAACUUUCAAUAUACAUAAAGACAAGUGCACAUAUUAUAAGUAUAUAGUUCAGUUUAUUUCCACAAACUGAAUAAACCCAUGUAAUCAGCACCCAGAUCGGGAAACAGAAUCUGGAAGCUUCCUUGUGUCCCCUUCCAAUCACUAUUUCCCCUCACGGUUAAUCCUGACUUCUAACUGCAUAGAUUUGUCUUGUCUAUUUUUGUACUUUAUAUAACUAGAAUAAUAGAAUAGAUACUCUUUUGUAUCUGUCUCUCUGGUUCUUAUUUGUAAGAUUCAUCCAUAUUGUUGAUGUUGUUGUGCUUAUGGGUAGUUUAUUAUUUGCUGUAUAUAAUAUUUCAUUGGGUAAAUAUUCCAUGAAUUAGCUAUCCAUUACUACUUGUAAGUGUACAGCUCAGCUUAUUUCCACAAGCCGAAUAGACCCAUGUAAUUAAUGGUUGUUUGGUGACAGAGAGAAAGGUUUUUUUUAAAAAUCUUUUAAAAUGCAUGACAGGAAAGUAGAAUUACUUAAGUACUAAAAAAACAAUAAGAAGGGGGAAAUUAAAGUGGUGUAGCUACUUUGGAAAACAGUCUGAUAGUUCCUGAAAUAAUUAAACAUAGAUUGACUAUAUGACCCAGCAAUUGCACUCAUAGGCAUAUAUGCAAGACAAAACAUAUGUCCACACAAAAGCUUGUACAUAAAUAUUCAUAGCAGCAUUAGCCACAAUAUCUAAAGGGUGAAAAUAAUCCAGAUGUCCAACAACUGCUGAAUGUUAAACAAAAUGUGGUAUAUCCAUAUAAUGGAAUAUUAUUUGGCCAUAAAAAGGAAUGAAGUGGCCGGGCGCCGUGGCUCACACCUAUAAUCUAGCACUUUGGGAGGCCGAGGCGGGUGGAUCACUUGAGGUCAGGAGUUCAAAACCAGCCUGGCCAACAUGGUAAAAUGCCAUCUCUACUAAAAAUACAAAAAAAAAUAGCCAGGUGUGGUGGCAGGUCCCUGUAAUCCCAGCUACUUGGGAGGCUGAGGCAGGAGAAUUGCUUGAACCCGGGAAGCAAAGGUUGCAGUGAGCCAAGAUUGUGCCACUAUACUCCAUCCUGGGUGACAGAGCAAGACUCCAUCUCAAAAAAAAAGGAAUGAAAUAUUAAUAGGAUAUACACUGCAAUAUGGAUAAAGCUUGAAAAUAUUAUGUUACAUAAAAUAAGCCAGGUAUGAAAGAUAUUAUUGUAUGAUUCCAUUUAUAUGAAAUGUCCAGAAUCAAAAUAGGCAAAUUCAUAUAGGCAGAAAGAGGCUCGGGGAGUUAGAGUUAGAGAGGGGAAUGGGGCAUGACUGCUAAUGGAUACAGGGUUUCUUUCUGUUGUCGUGAAAAUGCUCUGGAAUUAGAUAGUAAUGAUGGUUCUACAUGUAAAUAUACUAAAACCACUCAAUGCAUACUUUUAAAAAGAUGACUUUUACAGUAUAUGAAAUAUCUGUCCAAUUUUUUUAAAGGAAAGUAGAAUAAAAGAGUGCCAGAGCUGGCACUUGUCUGGAAAUUAUCCACUGAUCCUUGGUGGCCUACAGCCUGGGUUACAAUGGGUUAUAAAUGAAGGGACAGGAGACAAACCUUCAGAGGAAGACACUAGGAGAAGGGGGGUGGCAAUGGAAUCCACAGAGGAAGACAGUGAAGAUAUGUGCCUUUUUGAGCCUUGGCCCUGGGUGGAAUGAUUUAAAAAAAAAAAGUUUCCCCUGAAAAUCACUAACUCCACACCUAAUUUGGAGCCAGAAUUAAUAUUUUCUAUGUGGUCCAAAAAUACUUCAAAAGUUUAGAUCAGACAGGUCCUGGAAUGGUUGUACCUCUAGGUGCCCAGCCGGCACAACAAACACAAAUCCUGUUGAGGAAUGCAUUUUAAAUCCAGGCUUCAAAGCAUUGCCACAGAUAAAUAUGCAAAGAAAUUGAAUAUUAUAAUUUCCCUUUGGAUUUCAGUUUAAUCCUGCGUGUUUUAGGAAUUUUUUAUUGACAGAGCUGUUUAACUCUACCUUUUUGUUAUUAACUAUUCUAGUGUGCUUGGUUUUUUUUUUUUUUUUUUUGAGAUGGUGUCUUGCUCUGUCGCCCAGGCUGGAGUGCAGUGGCGCUAUCUCGGCCCACUGCAGGCUCCGCCCCCUGGGGUUCACGCCAUUCUCCUGCCUCAGCCUCCUGAGUAGCUGGGACUACAGGUGCCUGCCACCUCACCUGGCUAAUUUUUUUGUAUUUUUAGUAGAGAGGGGGUUUCACCGUGUUAGCCAGGAUGGUCUCGAUCUCUGACCUCGUGAUCCGCCCGCCUCGGCCUCCCAAAGUGCUGGGAUUACAGGCGUGAGCCACCGCGCCCAGCCAACUAUUCUAGUGUUUUGUUGUCAGAGAACAUACUCUGUGUGAUGCUAAUUAUUUGGAGUUUAU